UACGGAGGGGGCUAGCGUUGUUCGGAAUUACUGGGCGUAAAGCGCACGUAGGCGGCUUUGUAAGUUAGAGGUGAAAGUCCAGGGCUUAACCCUGGAAUUGCCUUUAAGACUGCAUCGCUAGAAUCGUGGAGAGGUGAGUGGAAUCCGAGUGUAGAGGUGAAAUUCGUAGAUAUUCGGAAGAAACACCAGUGGCGAAGGCGACCCACUGGACACGUAUUGACGCUGAGGUGCGAAAGCGUGGGGGAGCAAACAGGAUUAAGAAACCCUGG
rnacentral:rRNA from 1 species